ACUAAGGGAUAGCCAUGCAUGUCUCAGUACAAGCAUCCUUGUACCGUGAAACUGCGAAUGGCUCAUUACAACAGUUAUAGUUUAUUUGAUCGUGCGGAGCUACGUGGAUAACCGUAGGAAUUCUAGAGCUAAUACAUGCACCGUCGCCGAGGAUCUUUGGUUAGACUUCGGCGGGAUUUAUUAGAUCAAAAACCAAUCGUCUCUCCCGUUAUUUCGGAGAGAGGCGUGGUGGGAUGAAUCAUAAUAACUUUACCGAAUCGUAUGGCUUAAAUUAGGCCGACGAUAAAUCAUUCAAAUUUCUGCCCUAUCAACUUUCGAUGGUAGGGUAGUGGCCUACCAUGGUGUUGACGGGUGACGGAGAAUUAGGGUUCGAUUCCGGAGAGGGAGCCUGAGAAACGGCUACCACAUCCAAGGAAGGCAGCAGGCGCGCAAAUUACCCAAUCCUGAUUCAGGGAGGUAGCGACAAGAAAUAACGAUAGUGGGCUCGUUCGAGUCCGCGCAUCGGAAUGAGGAUAAUUUACACCCCUUCUCGAGGAUCCAUUGGAGGGCAAGCCUGGUGCCAGCAGCCGCGGUAAUUCCAGCUCCAAUAGCGUAUACUAAAGUUGUUGCAGUUAAAAAGCUCGUAGUCGAAUGAAGGUUUCUUGAAUUGCGCGGACUUCUAAGUGUAACUUAGAUUGGUUUGUGCACAAGAACCUCCCUUAUGUGUCUUUUUAGAUCCAAAUUUUUUGUUGGAUCUAAAAAGACACAUGCAUUACUGUGAACAAAAUAGAGUGUUCAUGGCAGGUCAAUUUAGGCUUGAA
rnacentral:rRNA from 1 species